rnacentral:rRNA from 1 species
GACGAACGCUGGCGGCGCGCUUAACACAUGCCAGUCGAACGGAAAGGCCUGCUUUCCCUUGUGGAUUGCGGGUACUCGAGUGGCGAACGGGUGAGUAACACGUGAGUGAUCUGCCCCCAACUUGGGUAUAAGCCUGGGAAACUGGGUCUAAUUCCCGAUAGGACUGCAGGGUGGUGCCUGUGGUGGAAAACGAUUUUCUAGUGGUUGGGGAUGAGCUCGCGGCCUAUCAGCUUGUUGGUGGGGUAAUGGCCUACCAAGGCGGCGACGGGUAGCCGGCCUGAGAGGGUGGACGGCCACAUUGGGACUGAGAUACGGCCCCGACUCCUACGGGAGGCAGCAGUGGGGAAUAUUGCACAAUGGGCGGAAGCCUGAUGCAGCGACGCCGCGUGGGGGAUGACGGCCUUCGGGUUGUAAGCUCCUUUCGACCGCGAGGAAGCCACCUGGUUGGAAGGGUGGUGACGGUAGUGGUAGAAGAAGCACCGGCUAACUACGUG